rnacentral:rRNA from 1 species
UACAGAGGGUGCAAGCGUUACUCGGAAUUACUGGGCGUAAAGCGUGCGUAGACGGUUAUGUAAGUCAGGUGUGAAAGCCCCGGGCUCAACCUGGGAAUUGCAUUUGAGACUGCAUAGCUAGGGUGCGGAAGAGGGAAGCGGAAUUUCCGGUGUAGCGGUGAAAUGCGUAGAUAUCGGAAAGAACACCAGUGGCGAAAGCGGCUUCCUGGUCCAGCACCGACGUUCAGGCACGAAAGCGUGGGGAGCAAACAGG